rnacentral:lncRNA from 1 species
AAGACACUACUUUUCUUGACCCCAGAAUUUGUAAAAAGUAUAUGGAUUUAUCUCCUGAACACCUACUUCCUCAAGAGACCUGAAGGAUAGGGGAAGAUGCAGGUCCUUGUUUUCUCUUUCUCAAGUAUACCCCAAAUCUGAAGACUUCAAUGGUGUUUCUUUUCUCUUCAGUUAUAUUUUUCUUCCCAUAUAUAUAUUUUCUUACUUAGGUAAAAUGAUAAAGGGAUAAUAUGAUUUAAGUGCAUUAAUAAAAUGAAUGUUUUGAAUAGACCAUAAUGUGAAAAGCAUCCUAGGGUUCAGUGCUAAGCUAUGCUUUACAUGAGCAAUUAAAGAUAUCUGUGUUAAUAGUACAAAUUAUAUUAAAUAUAUAAGCUUUCUGUCCCUACAUUUACUGAAAAUUAAUGUUAAAUCCUAGAAAGGAAAAGAUUUUCUUAUUAAUUGAAAUGUCCUUAUUUUAGAAUCUGAUUAAAUAGAAUUCUUUAUAUAUGGUCAAGUAUAAGAGAGUCACCCCUUUUUA